GCUGCGGUAGCUCAGUGGUAGAGCACUCCCUUGGUAAGGGAGUAACCAAACUGGCACCACGCCGUUUUCCAUAACA
rnacentral:tRNA from 1 species